rnacentral:rRNA from 1 species
UACAGAGGUCUCAAGCGUUGUUCGGAUUUACUGGGCGUAAAGGGUGCGUAGGCGGCGCGGUAAGUCGGGUGUGAAAUCUUGGAGCUUAACUCCGAAACUGCAUUCGAUACUGCCGUGCUUGAGGACUGGAGAGGAGACUGGAAUUUACGGUGUAGCGGUGAAAUGCGUAGAUAUCGUAAGGAAGACCAGUGGCGAAGGCGGGUCUCUGGACAGUUCCUGACGCUGAGGCACGAAGGCCAGGGGAGCAAACGGG